UAAAAAACAGGACAACAUUAGCAUAUUCAUUGCAAAGUGUCUGGAGCAGCCCCUUAUGGACCUGAGAUGAUUAUCUUGAGAAGAAAAUUGUGAUGGACACAAGGAAGCAAAAGGGUGAUCUCUUGAAUGAAGAGCUGGCUGAUUGAAAGCAAAGGCUGAAGUGUCCUUAAGAAGAACAACGAAGCAAGCUUCUCUGCAUCAGGGCAAAGAACGUGGAGGAAUAAGAUGCUUGGGCCAGUGGGACCAGAAGUAUGAAAGCAGGAGAGGAUGGGAUGAGGACACUCAGAACACUAAUAUUUCCCCACAAAUUACUCAUCUCCUGUGGAGGGACUCCAUGACGUUAGGGUUACUUCCUGUCUUGUUUUUUUUGACUGCCUGUGAUCCACACUGAGCUGCGCUGCGGAAAAGGCACAGCAGACAGACUGAUGUAAGAGGGCUAAAAGAAGAUGACAUGUCAGCAGCAUAAACAUCAGUUUCAGAAUCUGACUGGCUGCUAGUGUGAAAAUGUCAGAAGUGAGCUGUGCCCCAAGAUGUUGAGGAGGUGUGAUGUUAAUGCUGAUGACACAGAUGGAGUCAGCAUGAAGCUUUGGCAGCAGCCUCUCCAAUACAGCUCCAGCCUUCUGUGGGCUUCUGAUGGCUUGAGUCAUUGUUACAGAGAUGGCUGAACAUUUCACCCCUCAUCUUGUGGUUUUUGGUUAUGGAUCCAACUGUUCAAGGAGCUGGUGUGAACUGAUUCCUAAAGCUAGAAUUAGUCCAACUCUGUUGCGGGUGUGAUGGCUCGUGGUGGGGAAAGCACUCAACUCUAACUUAGAAUUCUCUGAUUACUUCACCAUCUCCUUCAGUAAGUACACUGUCAACUCCUUCAGGGAAGAAUAGUAUUCUUUAUCUUCAUAUCACCUGGCACAUGUUAAAAGCCGCCUUCCUUUUUAAGUAUGCGUAAUCCAUCCAAAUCCUGCCUAAGAGAACAAAAGCGGUGCUGGUAAUUUUCUCUUUCACAAAAUGCAGAGACUUCCUCUCUGUCCUCUCCAAGUACCAUUCUAUGAAGUGAAGGGAAAUUACACUCCUCACCAUUGAAAAAGAGAUUAUGCAAAAUGAGAAGGCUGGAGUGCAAUGGCGCCAUUUCAGCUCCACUGCAACCUCUGCUUCCUGAGUUUGAGCGAUUCUCCUGCCUCAGCCUCCUGAGUAGCUGAGAUUACACCUGCUACUACGCCCAGCUAAUUUUUGUAUUUUUAGUAGAGACAGGGUUUCACCAUGUUGGCCAGGCUGGUCUCGAACUCAAGACUUCAGGUUAUUUGGAUAAAAUGCUUAUUUUCUUUUUAACAUAAGCACUGGCUGGAAAUAUUGGUUAUUCUGUCUGAUAUUACAUGAAGGUCAGAUGCCCUCCAUGCAACCAUAAGGUCGGAUGGCAGUUUGAUGCUGAACCAGCAAACAAGCCUACUCAGCAUGAAACUAUGAGUAUAAAAACCUUUAUGAUGACCCACCUCCACUUGGAUCAAUGAAUAGAAGAAGAGUUGUGGACAUAGACACAUACAGAGAGAAGAAAGACCAUGUGAAGUCACAGGGAGAAGACAGCCACCUACAUACCAAGGAGAGAGGCCGUACAACAAACCAACCCUGAGGACACCUUGAUCUUGGACUUCCAGCUUCCAGAUUUACCGGAAAAUAAAUUUCCGUUGUUUAAGCCACACAGUCUAUGGCAUUUUGUUAUGGCAGUUCUAGCAAACUAAUAUAUAGCCUAUAUCGUAUACUACUCAGUUUAGACUACUUUUAUUUUGGAACAUAUUAUACUUUUGCUACUUUUGCUUAUGCAGUUUCUUUCGCUUAGUGCCCCUUGCUAGUAGAUAUUUAUAUUUAAAGAUAUUUUAGGCCUGGCACAGUGGCUCACAUCUGUAAUUCCAACAUUUUGGCAGGCUGAGGUGAGUAAAUCACUUGAGGCCAGGAGUUUGAGAUCAGCCUGGCUAACAUGGUGAAACCCCUUCUCUACUAAAAAAUACAAAAAUUAGCCAGGCAUGGUGGUGGGUGCCUGUAAUCCCAGCUACUUGGGAGGCUGAGGCAGGAGAAUUGCUUGAACCCAGUAGGUGGAGGUUGCAGUGAGCCCACAUCACAUCACUGCACUCCAGCCUGGGCAACACAGUGAGACUCCAUCUGAAAAAACAUAUAUAUAUAUAUAUUUUUUUUUCUUCAAAGUAUUUCUCAAAAGCCUAUGAUCAUCAGAGCUAAAAGUAAUUUCUCCCUCUUCUACGUUGUUUUUGUAAUUUUCCCUUAUUUCUAACAAAGCAACCAUCCCAUUAUGUUUUAUUUCUCCUGUAAAAUUGCACCAGUCCUCAAAGAAAAGAUCAGAGCAGUGACAAGAGUCAAGUCAGACAUGGUGGUUGCUUGGAAUGAUAUGAUGACAGUGUUGGUGAAAAUACAUGAAAGGAGGUAGAAUGGAUGACUGUGGUGGUUUAUAAAAUGUAGGGAGACAAGUUAAAAGUCCAUAUGAAGGAUGCAGUCCUGGAAUGAGGAUGCUGUCGUCUUGGACCAUAAGACAUGAAGACAAGAGUGGUGUUAUGAACUGAAAGGAGCCAGGAGCUUUGUUGGAACAGAACCACCCUAUUAACCCUGGACUUCC